UGGUCUCCAAUUUUUGACCGCAAAUGAGCUGCCUGCCUCUGCCUCCCAAAGUGCUGAGAUUACAAGCAUGACCUGGCCUGGAUGAUUUUCUGUUCGACAAUUCAAGCUUCAGAUGAGGCCUAGGCAAGUGAUGAGUUUGGGGAACAUUCUUGAGUAAUCUAUUAAAUAUAUUUUUCAUUGGUUUUAGUAAAUCUCAAGAAGUUGUGAAGAAAAGGAAACAGAGGCUUCAGCUAGUCCAGAAUCGGCCAGCAGCAGACUCAAAGGAUCCUCAAGUUUAUAACCAAAGACUGCUUAGUUGACCUUUGCUCCAUGGUGGAUUUCUUGAGAAUCAGUUUGCAAAGGAGCAGCUUCCUUUUAUGAAGGGAAACUUUAUGCAGGGAAAUCACAUUUUUAGGAUAUAGCUUUUGUUUGAAGUUUGUAGUAGGGCCUGAGGGCAAGACCCUAAACAAGUUGUUUUUCUUUAACUCUGUCCUCUGCACUGGAAUGCAGCUUGCAACUCUUCUUUGCCUUUGUUGAGCAGGAAGCAUGAUAGCUGAAGGCCAAGGUUGAAGUUCGGAUGCUUUAUCUUCUUGAUAAAGAAGGGCAUAAUUAUGCACGGAUAAUAUUGAAAUAACAUCCAAAGUACACUUGCACUGUAGUCACCUAAAAGAAAAUUGGGAAAUACUAACUGGGAGUUGUUUGUAAAGAGCCUUGGCCUGGGUGUCAGAGGCUUAGGAGCAGAGCUGGGAAUUCUACUUAAAAAGUCUACUUUGGACUUGAUGACUUUGAAUAGCCCUUCCCACUGUAGCAUUCUGCCUCCUGUAUAUCUGACUGAAGGUGAACUCCCUGCCAUUGGCGUUCAUUUGGCAUUCAGAUGUUUCAGUGCAUCAUCCCUUUUAUGUUCGUAUUUCCAAGUUAACACUGGAAUGUACUGACAACACAUUUGUCAGGCACUACCCUUCCUAUAUAUAUUACCACAUCGAAUCCUUAUAACAAUUCUCUGGGGGCAGGUAUCCUAAUACAAAUUUUCCAUAUAAGGAAACUCAGACCUAGAGUGGCUAAGUCACUCACCUGAGAGCACACAGUAAGUGGUAGAAUGGGAGCUUAGCCCCUAGACUGACUCUCCUGAUAGUUUAUUAUACUAGUUAGAACUGUAUCUAAUAUUAAAAGAUUCGUAUUAGCAGUUUCUUUUAUAUUAUCAAAAUUUUAGAGUCUUGAAUAGAAAUAAUAAUGUGAUUUUAAAAGUCCUUAUUUGAAACCCCAACAUGCUUUUGAGCUGUAGAGGUGGUAUCCCAGUAGCUGGGGGUAGCCGCCAAAACACUUCAGUGUGAUAGGGCCUGGUCUUGCUCUCAGGAGGUUUCAAUGGGAGCCCAGUUGAAAGCACUGGAUUAGUGAUUAGGAAUAUCAUUACUGAAUGAGAUUGCAUGCAUGCUACCUUACAAUUUAGGUAGCCUCAUCUCAUGUCUUCUUCUUGGACCAGUGGUUCUCAAGGGGUUUCCAGGCCCCCAGGAGUCCGGAGACCCUUUUAGAGGGUCUGCAAGGUUUUCAUAGUACUACUAAAACACUACCCUUUUUGCUGCAUUGAUAUUUUUAUUGAGGUACAAAAGCAGUGGUGGGUAGAACUGUUGGAACCUUAGUAUGGUGGCACCAAACUACUAGUAGUAGUGAUCAUAUUCUUCAUAACCAAACACUUGCAGUAAAAACACAAGUGCCUCUUUGACUUAAGAAUGACCUUGGAGAAGCAAUAAAAAUUAUUACUUUUAUUAAAUCUUGGUCCUUAAGUAGAGUGACACAAGAUGAGAAGUACCCAUAAAGCACCUGCAUACUGAAGUACAACAUUUGUCUCAAAGAGAAGCACUUGUGUGACUGAAUUGUGAGCUGAAUUCUCUGCCUUUCUCAUGGAAUACUAUUUUUAUUGAAAGAACAACUGACAAGCUAUGGUUCUAUGGAUGGUAUGUUCUCAAAUAUUAACAAAGUGAGCCUAUCCCUUCAAAGAAAACAGCAGACAGAAUUUAUUGCCAAUGAUAAAAUUUUAGGUUUUAAGCAAAAAUAAGAAUUUGUUGUAGAAUUUGUGUCUGUCACUAUGACUUAAAAUUUUCUGAUACUGCUGGUGGUAUUUUAAUGUAUAUGAUAAUGUGAUUUUUUUGAUAUUAUAUAAUGAAAUAUGUCAACAUUUAGAAGUUCUACAUAUACUGUUUCUGUCUCUGGUGCUUGAAUCAGGAUUUAAAAAUAAUUUUCUAAAUGAUCAAUGCAAGAUGCUGUAAAAUUAUGGAUGUGUAAAAAAAUAAAUUCAAAGUGCAAGAUAGA